UGACGUCUGUGGAUCCCUUUGGGGAGCCUUUACAGCAUAUACCUGCCAUAGUGAUUCAGGUUCCUUCGUCCUGGGGACCCAGCCAUCAUCAGAAGAUUUCCAGAUCUGAAAAUAGGCUCUGCAAGGGAUCAUGACUUUUUAUUGGAGCAACUGACCUCCUUCUCCUGAUAAUAUAUUCUUGCCUUCUUCUGACUGCAUAUUUUAAGCAGAGCCCUUAUUGGCUGCCCAUCUGUUUUGCCCUGAGGAACACCGUAUUCUGUUAACCAUCUCCAUAAUUCUCUACAGCACUUAGGCUCCUGUUUGUCCACAACAGAAAUAGAACCUAACAUAGCAGAAAAGGUACAUAUUGUCCUGACUGGGAAGAUCAGGAACAGGCUUGGAGGACAAGCAGGAACUAUGGAAGCCCUGAGGACCCAGUCAGAGCCCAAAGAGGAAAACACUGGCAGAAAUCUCCAGGUUUAUAGAUGAAAAUCUUUGCACCUGACUGUUAUAAGGAAAACCCCCAUGACACCACAGGUUUGAGCUGAGGAAAGGACAUCUGUGCAUUAGAGCACAUAAGUUAAGAAAUACUAUACAGAACUCUAGGAGCACAGCCAUUGCCUGGUGGUGUGCUGCAGUCAGCUCAUAUCAGUUCACAAGAACAUAUUGUGCAUAUCUCUUCCCAACCUGAUGUUGAAUGAAGUCAGAAUGAUAGCUUGAAAAUGAUCAUUAUAGGAAUACUUGCACCAUGGAAAUUGGCAAAUGUUAAGUGUGAUCCUGGUGAUUUCCCUGGAGGUUUGAAAGAUAGCUGAAGAUUUUGAAGAGAAGAGUCAUCUUGCAAAGCAUCAUCCUUGUCUCCAGG